rnacentral:lncRNA from 1 species
AAAUUUUAUUAUUUUAUCUGAAUUCUGUGUCUCUGUGUAUUUCUUUCUGAGAUUUCUGCAACAUUUGGUGCGUUGGCCGGGAAUUGGGAAUGAAAUAGCCCUUUGGGGCAUCGGCCGAACCCCACCAGAGGGAGCAGCUCUCUGUCUCCUGGAGAGGAAAGGCGUGCCCCUGGGACUAAUUUCCUAGGCUCCCCAACAGGACACAGAGAUCCCUCACCAUUGGAAGUUUGCCCGAACCCGAGAAGGAGACUACAGAAGGAGGACUGCUGCUCUUGGUGUUUCAUCUGUCUCUUUCCUUUGCUGAGUGAGAAACCCUGGGAAAACCCCAGUCCUUAACUUCACCUUGUGAAUUUGGACUCUGUAACUUUGGGCAAAUACAGCACAGGGGCCCGAUCACCCCUUGUGCUUUGCCAUUUGGGGAGAUGGGAGCAGCUUCGUGAAGAUGGGGUUCAUCAUGCUGGAUAUGCGGUAACCAUGAAGGAUGAGGUGGUCCUAGGCAGGACCGUCCAUGCAAUGUGCUAAGCUCUGGGCACUCAUACAGGCACUCCGAUGGGCGAAGGGUAAAAAAGCCUGUGCCACCUGCCCUCCCAUCAUGAGGCCCUUACCAGAAGUCAAGCAGAACCCAAGCAGAUGGUGGUGCCAUGCUCCCAGCCUCCAAAACCCUGAGCCAAAAUAAACCUUCCUUGGAAAUCGG